rnacentral:lncRNA from 1 species
GUAAAUUACAUUGGUAAAAGUACAGAGAUUGUGCUUGGAGACUGAGAUUAGGAGUACAUCGACUCCUAGAACUGUGAGUAAACUUAUUAUCGUCUUAACUAUCUAGAGUAGUUUUAUACAAUUGUGUGAUUUUAUAAAAAAAUGGGUUUAAAUGGUAAAUUGCUAUGUUUUAGGAGAAAUUGUGAUUUUAUAAAAUGAUUUCAUAAAUUUUCUUGAAAAUUGAAUAUUGGUUUUGAAAAUAGAGUAAUUGGAGAUUGCCUGCUAGUGUUGCAAAUUUAUGGUUUUAAAUUGAAUGGCUUAUGACAAUAUACGAGCAUGAAUGACUAAACUGAUUUUUGGUGUUAGAAUUAUUUGUACUGUGUAUUUAGCCUUGAGAGGCUAGGUUGCGAUAAAUUGCCAUGUCAUGCAGAAAAAGAUUUUAUAAAUCAGGUGGUAGAUAAAAUAAUCCAUAGUCACUGCAGUGGUGGGAGUUUCCGUGGAUUGCCUAUGAGAGGGGCACGGUAACCCAAUUAUAUACUUACCUCCGGGGGGAGAUGUUGGAUGAAGUAUCUCCUAAGGUAAAGAUUUGAGUGCACUUCAUGUGGACCACCACGUGAGAGUGAGACUCAGCCAAUGCCAAGGCAUGGCUAAAAUUUCGGAUGUAAAGACAUUUAACAACCUUGGCUGACUCGGUUGGGAUAACCCUUGAUCAAGGUAUCCCUGAUAACUGAGUAUGAGAAUGAUUUUUGGCACGAGCCAAGCUUUUCAGGAAAUCAUAAGCCUAUUUGUUUAUUUGGUUGAAAUGAGUUGAAAGGUAAUGAAAUUACAGUAUGAUGACUUAUUUUAAUUCGUCUCCAUUUACUCGUCUUUAAAUAGUUUAGAUGGUGUUUGUUUACUCACUAGGAUUUUAUAAUCUCACCACCCUCAUUUCCUCAUAUUUCAGGCUCGGGGAAUUUCAUAGUUAGCUGACUUUGACAAGGACCUUCAUUUGAACUUGAAUCGACAAAAGAUGUAGGUUUUCAGCUUUCGAUACAUUUUGGUUAGAUGUGGGCUCAUGUGUUGCUGUAAAAGUAAUUUUAUGCUUUGGUUAUUUGCUUUAUAGUAUAUAUGAAUAUAAUUAACU